rnacentral:tRNA from 1 species
GCUAGUGUAGCUUAACACAAAGCAUAGCACUGAAGAUGCUAAGAUGAGUCCUAAAAAACUCCACAUGCA